rnacentral:rRNA from 1 species
GACGAACGCUGGCGGCGUGCCUAAUACAUGCAAGUCGAGCGAAGCGGCGGAUGGGUGACUACCUCGUGGGUAACCUGCCCUUAAGUCUGGGAUACCAUUUGGAAAUAGAUGCUAAUACCGGAUAAUAAAGGAUGGACCUGCGAUGCAUUAGCUAGUUGGUAAGGUAACGGCGUACCAAGGCGAUGAUGCAUAGCCGAGUUGAGAGACUGAUCAGCCACAUUGGGACUGAGACACGGCCCAAACGCCGACGGGAGGCAGCAGUAGGGAAUCUUCCACAAUGGACGAAAGUCUGAUGGAGCAACGCCGCGUGAGUGAAGAAUGUUUUCGGAUCGUAAAGCUCUGUUGUUGGUGAAGCGGUAAUCAACCAGAAAGUCACGGCUAACUACGUGCCAGCAGCCGCGGUAAUUC